GCCUGCAGGGCCUUAUCUUGCCAAACCAAGGCCAAAACCAGUUCUGAGAGACCCUCCAAGCCCGGAAGAACCGCAUGCACGAAUCCCUGAAGCUUUUUGACAGCAUCUGCAACAACAAAUGGUUCACAGACACGUCCAUCAUCCUGUUUCUUAACAAGAAGGACAUAUUUGAAGAGAAGAUCAAGAAGUCCCCGCUCACCAUCUGCUUUCCUGAAUAUACAGGCCCCAGCGCCUUCACAGAAGCCGUGGCUUACAUCCAGGCCCAGUACGAGAGCAAGAACAAGUCAGCCCACAAGGAGAUCUACACCCACGUCACCUGCGCCACGGACACCAACAACAUCCAGUUUGUCUUUGAUGCUGUGACGGACGUCAUCAUCGCCAAAAACCUGCGGGGCUGUGGACUCUACUGAGCCCAGCCACCCUGCCCGGCACCCUUGCCCUGCCUGGCCUGCCGCCCCCCCUCCCCUGGAACCAGGCUCCACCACUCUCAGACCACUCUUUGCACUUGAGGAAGAAGACCUCAGAGGCUGGCACCAAGGGAGGGAGGAGGGAGCAUCCUCCACCCGCACCCCCCAACAGAACUCGUGGUAACACAGGGGCGGGGCGGGGCUGCUGAGUGCAUGCUGCAAGGCCAGGAGACUCCACGCUCACAGCCUCUGUGUCAUCUCUGAGUGCUUGAUCGGGAAGCUGGGGGGACAGGGCAGGGCCCAGAUGGGCACACCCUGCACCUGAUGACUCACUGGAAGCCUCGGAGUGUCCUCCUGUCAUCUU
rnacentral:sRNA from 1 species